ensembl:lncRNA novel transcript
AGGAAACUCCGGGACCCUGCAAGGGAUGACUCACCCCAGUGAUUCAACCGCGCCACCGAGCGCGGAGCUGCCCUGGAGGACGCAGGCGGGUCUAGUUGCCCGGGUCCCCCAAGGCCCCCGGAUUCACCCAGGCCCGCGACUCCGACGUGCAGCUUAGGUGGGUUGCAGGUCUAUGGCAGGAAAGGGAGGGCGCCUUGGAAGAAUUCUUCCCUUCCAUUUGGUGAUAAAGUGGGAGAGGCGGCAUUUACAACAUUUAAUAGAAAGCACGGGCUCUGGGCUCCCCUCGGGCAGCGGAGGGCAUUUCCCGGAUGCUUUGCCCACCUGGGGCAGAAGCUCGGGACCUGCAGCGAAGUAAACGUGUGGCUGUGAGCAGGGCCCUCUCCCAGCCACGGUGGCUUCUUCUACCCCACGAAGGUCAAGAAUACCUGGCCUGCCCACCUCGCGGGGCCCUUAGCGGGUCGCACAGGAGAAAGGCGGUGGGAAUGCCGGUGUCAGCCACGGUGUGACCGGCUCGGCUCACAGGUCUGAGGGUCAGUUGGCUCAGGCAUCGCCCGGUACGACCAGAGAUAGUGACUGAGGAAGAGCAGCCUCACAUCUGGCAGUUUGCCUCUGGGAGAAUUCCAGCGUGACAUCUGCAGCUCUGUGGUUCCAGAAAGGAUGGUUCCCACAUUGAAGAAGACAUCUGUGGGACUGAGUUCCACCGAAAUGCAGAGGAACCAAAAAUGAAAAUGAAAAAUGUAACCAGAGUUGUGUGCCACUAGUUUUAAGCUUUGGUUUUUCUAAAUUAUUUUCUGGCUUCUCCUUCUGGGCUUUGCUGUAAACUUGCCAAGCAUGAGAACAACUCUUCAUCUAUUGAGUGGCAUUUUAAGCCAUCCUGUCAAAGUAUCUCCUGUCAUUUUUAUUAUUAUUACUCUAUAUUGCCUGCAAGACACGACUGGAGAAUUCUUAGUGUAAGAAUUGUUUGUUUCCUCUCUCCUUCUUUCCCACGUUUUCCCAGGGAAGUCAGUCUUGCAUUUUAAUGCAUACUAUAUACAUAUCUCGUUUAGCUUACUGAACCACUUGUUUUAACAGAAUAAAACUGUGCAAAAUUUUAAUUUUCCUCCUUUGCCUGAACUGAAAUAGCACAUCCAGGUUUAGCCCUUGUAGACUUUCCUUCCUCGAAGCAGAAAGUUGCCCUUGAUGAUUUCCUCUUUGAGCUCUCUGCCAGCUCUGAAACCCACAAAAUUUAUGUUUGCAAAACUAAGCCAUGCAAUCCUCUUUUUAUGCAGGCUCUAGCCUGAGUCAUUUUCCCUAAGAGAUCUUCAGCUCCACCUGGGAUGUGAUUCUUUGCUCUCUGGGAUUGAAGGUAGCUGAAGAGAAAUAGUUACACUUCAGGUUUGUUACAAGACCCAAGAAAUUGUUGCAAUUCCACUUGGAGUCACUGACUUUUCUGAAAUCAUAUAGGGCUUUAAACAAUGUCAAGAUCAGCCAUUUGAUAAGAAAAAUGUUUACCAUUGGAUUGUGAUACACAAUGUGCCUUAAAUAUUGAUAAAUUAGAUGAAUAUUUAUUUUGUAUAUCCAUUAAAAUAGACAGGAAAGAGAAGAUGUUGGGUGUUUGCACAGGCUUUUUAGUCAGUACGGAAUGACAUUCUUCAAGAUUUAAAAAUGCUAAAAUCAUUACUAUUUUCAAGAAGAGGGAGGAAGAAAACGUGGUAAAUAAUAUUUCAUUGCGAAGUGUU